rnacentral:rRNA from 1 species
CAGUCGCCGCGGGAAUACAGAGGGUGCGAGCGUUAAUCGGAUUUACUGGGCGUAAAGCGUGCGUAGGCGGCUUUUUAAGUAGGAUGUGAAAUCCCUGAGCUUAACUUAGGAAUUGCAUUCGAUACUGGGAAGCUAGAGUAUGGGAGAGGAUGGUAGAAUUCCAGGUGUAGCGGUGAAAUGCGUAGAGAUCUGGAGGAAUACCGAUGGCGAAGGCAGCCAUCUGGCCUAAUACUGACGCUGAGGUACGAAAGCAUGGGGAGCAAACAGGAUUAGAUACCCCUGUAGUCCCUGUCUCUUAUAC